CAGGGGCCACCUCUUUCACAGGAGAAGGUGAAACAACCGGAUUUGAAAUAGGCGCAGGUACUACGACCACAGGCCCCGGAGAAGCUCUGGAACCUGGCAGUCACAACACAGAGGCCACGACGUCCACGGGUGGCAGUGGGACCACCGAAGCUGAACUUCCAGGAGGCA